rnacentral:rRNA from 1 species
UACGUAGGGGGCUAGCGUUGUCCGGAAUCAUUGGGCGUAAAGCGCGUGUAGGCGGUCCGGUAAGUCCGCUGUGAAAGUCGGGGGCUCAACCCUCGGAUGCCGGUGGAUACUGUCGGGCUUGAGUACGGAAGAGGCGAGUGGAAUUCCUGGUGCAGCGGUGAAAUGCGCAGAUAUCAGGAGGAACACCAAUUGCGAAGGCAGCUCGCUGGGACGUUACUGACGCUGAGACGCGAAAGCGUGGGGAGCGAACAGG